rnacentral:rRNA from 1 species
UACAGAGGUCCCAAGCGUUGUUCGGAUUCAUUGGGCGUAAAGGGUGCGUAGGCGGUGGGGUAAGUUGGAUGUGAAAUCUUGGGGCUUAACUUCAAAAUUGCAUUCAAUACUGCUCCGCUCGAGUUCUGUAGAGGAGAUUGGAAUUUACGGUGUAGCAGUGAAAUGCGUAGAUAUCGUAAGGAACGCCAGUGGCGAAAGCGAAUCUCUGGGCAGCAACUGACGCUGAGGCACGAAGGCCAGGGGAGCAAACGGG